UACGUAGGGUGCAAGCGUUUGUCCGGAAUUAUUGGGCGUAAAGAGCUCGUAGGCGGUUUGUUGCGUCGGCUGUGAAAUCCCGAGGCUCAACCUCGGGUCUGCAGUCGAUACGAGCAAACUAGAGUGUUGCAGGGGAGACUGGAAUUCCUGGUGUAGCGGUGAAAUGCGCAGAUAUCAGGAGGAAUACCAGCGGCGAAGGCGGCGCUCUGGGCCGGUACUGACGCUGAGGAGCGAAAGCGUGGGGAGCAAACAGG
rnacentral:rRNA from 1 species